rnacentral:misc_RNA from 1 species
GUUGAAGAACGUAGCGAAAUGCGAUAAGUAGUGUGAAUUGCAGAAUUCAGUGAAUCAUCGAAUCUUUGAACGCACAUUGCGCCCCUUGGUAUCCCGAGGGGCAUGCCUGUUCGAGCGUCAUUUCACCACUCAAGCCUGGCUUGGUGUUGGGCGACGUCCCCUUUGGGGACGCGCCUCGAAACGCUCGGCGGCGUGGCACCGGCUUUAAGCGUAGCAGAAUCUUUCGCUUUGGAAGUCGGGGCCCCGUCUGCCGGAAGACCUACUCGCAAGGUUGACCUCGGAUCAGGCAGGGAUACCCGCUGAACUUAAGCAUAUCAUAAGCGGAGGA